GAUGAAGAACGUAGCGAAAUGCGAUAAGUAAUGUGAAUUGCAGAAUUCAGUGAAUCAUCGAAUCUUUGAACGCACAUUGCGCCCGCCAGUAUUCUGGCGGGCAUGCCUGUUCGAGCGUCAUUUCAACCAUCAAGCCCCAGGCUUGUGUUGGGGACCUGCGGCUGCCGCAGGCCCUGAAAACCAGUGGCGGGCUCGCUGUCACACCGGGCGUAGUAGAUUUUAUCUCGCUCAGGGCGUGCUGCGGGUUCCGGCCGUUAAAAAGCCUUUUUUACCCAAGGUUGACCUCGGAUCAGGUAGGAAGACCCGCUGAACUUAAGCAUAUCAAUAAGCGGAGGA
rnacentral:misc_RNA from 1 species